UACGUAGGGGGCAAGCGUUAUCCGGAUUUACUGGGUGUAAAGGGAGCGUAGACGGCUUUGCAAGCCAGAUGUGAAAGCCCGGGGCUCAACCCCGGGACUGCAUUUGGAACUGUGUGGCUAGAGUGUCGGAGAGGCAGGCGGAAUUCCUAGUGUAGCGGUGAAAUGCGUAGAUAUUAGGAGGAACACCAGUGGCGAAGGCGGCCUACUGGACGAUGACUGACGUUGAGGCUCGAAAGCGUGGGGAGCAAACAGG
rnacentral:rRNA from 1 species